rnacentral:rRNA from 1 species
AUUGAACGCUGGCGGCAUGCCUUACACAUGCAAGUCGAACGGUAACGCGGGGCAACCUGGCGACGAGUGGCGAACGGGUGAGUAAAGCAUCGGAACGUGCCCAGUAGUGGGGGAUAGCCCGGCGAAAGCCGGAUUAAUACCGCAUACGACCUACGGGUGAAAGGGGGGGAUCGCAAGACCUCUCGCUAUUGGAGCGGCCGAUGUCAGAUUAGGUAGUUGGUGGGGUAAAGGCCUACCAAGCCGACGAUCUGUAGCUGGUCUGAGAGGACGACCAGCCACACUGGGACUGAGACACGGCCCAGACUCCUACGGGAGGCAGCAGUGGGGAAUUUUGGACAAUGGGCGCAAGCCUGAUCCAGCCAUGCCGCGUGCGGGAAGAAGGCCUUCGGGUUGUAAACCGCUUUUGUCAGGGAAGAAACGCUCUGGGCUAAUACCCUGGGGUAAUGACGGUACCUGAAGAAUAAGCACCGGCUAACUACGUGCCAGCCGCCGCGGUAACAC